rnacentral:rRNA from 1 species
UUUACUAGAACUGUCAUACAGGUGCUGCACGGCUGUCGUCAGCUCGUGUCGUGAGAUGUUGGGUUAAGUCCCGCAACGAGCGCAACCCUCGUGUUUAGUUACUAACAGUUCGGCUGAGGACUCUAAACAGACUGCCUGGGUAACCAGGAGGAAGGUGAGGACGACGUCAAGUCAUCAUGGCCCUUACGGCCAGGGCUACACACGUGCUACAAUGGGGUAUACAAAGAGCUGCAAUACGGUGACGUGGAGCAAAUCUCAUAAAAUAUCUCCCAGUUCGGAUUGAAGUCUGCAACUCGACUUCAUGAAGUUGGAAUCGCUAGUAAUCGUAGAUCAGCAAUGCUACGGUGAAUACGUUCCCGGGUCUUGUACUCACCGCCCGUCACACCAUGGGAAUUGAAUUCAUUCGAAGCGGGGAUGCUAAAAUAGCUACCUUCCACAGUGGAUUUAGUAACUAGGGUGAAGUCGUAACAAGGUA